CAGCGUGUGGUCGGGGCUCCUGGUGACGGUCGAGGCCACGGUCCUCGGCUCGGCCGUCGCGCUCGCCCUGUCCUUCGUGUUCGGCUUCGCGGCACGCAGC
rnacentral:tRNA from 1 species